rnacentral:rRNA from 1 species
UACGAAGGGAGCGAGCGUUGUUCGGAAUCACUGGGCUUAAAGCGUGCGUAGGCGGAGAUGCAAGUCAGGAGUGAAAUCCCGGGGCUUAACCCCGGAACUGCUUUUGAAACUGCAUCCCUAGAAUUCGGUAGAGGUUAAUGGAAUAUCCAGUGUAGAGGUGAAAUUCGCAGAUAUUGGAUAGAACACCAGUGGCGAAGGCGAUUAACUGGGCCGAUAUUGACGCUGAGGCACGAAAGCGUGGGGAGCAAAC